CUUCCAAACUACCUCCAUUUCUUCAUUUAUCAACUAAACAAAAUCUCUUUCCUUCUUACAUAUAAAGGUCUUCUAUCUUUAAAUUGUUUUCCUACAAUUGAUCAAGUGAACCGACUGCUAGAGCGUGGCGACAGGUCAAAAGGUUGAAGAAGUAUACUGCCAUAGAUAAAUGGAACACACAACUAAGGUCUCUCUACCAAAUUGUUGGCAACAGAGUAUGUUGAGAUUUCCCAUCUAAAAGAAGUGAUUAUACCGACGACUUAUAAUGCAAUGAAAGACAAGAGGGGUUGCUCUGAUGGUAAGCAACCCCCACUUCCAACCGAGAGGUUGUGAGUUCGAGUCUCCCCAAGAGCAAAGUGGUAAGUUCCUGGAGGGAAGGACACCGGGGGUUUAUUUGGAAACAGCCUCUCUACCCAAGGAUAGGGGUGAGGUUUGCGUACAUACUAUCCUCCCCAGACCCCUUGUUGUUGUUGUUGUUAUAAUACAAUGAAAAGAAGAGAGGACUCCAAGCUUAAGGUUUAUGAUUCCCAAAAACUAGAAAUAAAGCAGCAAAUUUAGGUCCUUUUGAAGUUCCAAUAAUUACAUGAUCCCUUUUUUCUCCUUGUGUACUGGCACCCCACCCCCACCCCAACCCCCUCUUUUGUUCACAGAGGACAUUUCAGUUGCCUGAUGGGCAGGCUAAAGUUAGGUAAAAAUUAUCCUGCAUUAGGUAGUAAAUAGCACACUGGAUUGUUCAUUGGGUAAUUUAUUUGCCCAAUUUCUGGUUGUUCAAGUAUACAUAUGGAACUUGAUUAAGUUAUAGUAAUUUGGUGGUCAUUUUUAUGUGACUUUCAUUUUGAAGAAGAAAAUUAGUGUGCUUGAAAAAGCUUGAGGGCGGUCAAUCUGAUUUCUGGUAAAAAAGUUAAAUAGAAUAUCUU
rnacentral:lncRNA from 1 species